rnacentral:rRNA from 1 species
CACGUAGGGCGCAAGCGUUGUCCGGAAUUAUUGGGCGUAAAGAGCUCGUAGGCGGUCUGUUACGUCUGCUGUGAAAACCCGGGGCUUAACCCUGGGCUUGCAGUGGAUACGGGCAGACUAGAGGCAGGUAGGGGAGAAUGGAAUUCCCGGUGUAGCGGUGAAAUGCGCAGAUACCGGGAGGAACACCGGUGGCGAAGGCGGUUCUCUGGGCCUGACCUGACGCUGAGGAGCGAAAGCGUGGGGAGCGAACAGG